AACACUCAAGGCCUUCUCCUGGAGAAGGCCUUGCUAUUAGUUGCGGUACAGCACCUUAAUGAUGUGAUAUCCGAACUGGGUGUGCAGCGGGCCGGUCGGCUCCAGUACCGGACAAGAGAAAACCACUUUAUCGAACGCCGGAACCAUCUGACCCUGGCGGAAUUCACCUAAAUCACCGCCGCGUUUGCCUGACGGGCAAAUAGAGUGUUUCUUCGCCAGCUUGCCGAAAUCGGCACCGUUCUUAAUCUGCUCGAGAAGAUCCAGAGCCAGUUUCUCUUCUUUUACAAGGAUAUGCAGUGCUGCUGCUGUUUUUGCCAUGAUCGUGCCUUGAGUGAAUAAUUGUCAGGCGGCGAUUUUAGCAUGAUCCGCAGAUGCUAACGUAAUUGUCAGUCAGGGAGGGGCUGGUACAUAUAUGGCAAAAGCCCGGAAAAUCCGGGCUUCGCAGGUCCCUCAAGGGGAGAAAACUUAGGGCCUCUAUGGGCUACAAAGUCAUUAUCGGGGAUGGUUAUUUUAUUGUCAAUUUAUGAGCGAUAUGGCAUUGAUUGACUUGAUGACCGCCCUC
rnacentral:rRNA from 1 species